GCAUUGGUGGUUCGAUGGUAGAAUUCUCGCCUUCCAUGUGGGAGACCUGGGUUUGAUUCCUGGCCAAUGUG
rnacentral:tRNA from 1 species